rnacentral:rRNA from 1 species
GACGAACGCUGGCGGCGUGCUUAACACAUGCAAGUCGAACGGAAAGGCUCCAGCUUGCUGGAGUACUCGAGUGGCGAACGGGUGAGUAACACGUGGGUAAUCUGCCCUGCACUCUGGGAUAAGCCUGGGAAACUGGGUCUAAUACUGGAUAUGACCUUUCUCCUUAUGGGGUUUGGUGGAAAGUUUUUCGGUGUAGGAUGAGCCCGCGGCCUAUCAGCUUGUUGGUGGGGUGAUGGCCUACCAAGGCGACGACGGGUAGCCGGCCUGAGAGGGUGAUCGGCCACAUUGGGACUGAGCUACGGCCCAGACUCCUACGGGAGGCAGCAGUGGGGAAUAUUGCACAAUGGGCGGAAGCCUGAUGCAGCGACGCCGCGUGAGGGAUGACGGCCUUCGGGUUGUAAACCUCUUUCAGCAGGGACGAAGCGUAAGUGACGGUACCUGCAGAAGAAGCACCGGCUAACUAUGUG